ACAGAAGAAAACCAAACUAGUUCCAUAUACAUAUACCAGAAUCCAAAAUACAAAGCUACCCGCACUGGCGAGUUAAAGAUAGGUAAGUAUAUGAACUCCAACAAAACAACUACCUGCAGUAGGGCACCUCUAGCACGGCUCGUCGGGUAGGGCUCUAACUCGCGACGCCCUUGCCUCGAUCCUGAUCAGCAAUAGCAGCAGCCGAAGACGAUGGCUCUGCAAAAGAUGAAAUAACAACAGGACGUGAGAACUACUGUAAAAACAAGUAGUCCUCAGUGGGUACCGCCCAAAACAACAUCGGUCCACCCACUAAGUCUACAGAAAGGAGCAAGAAUAGUAGUAAAUGCAGGAAUAAAAUCUACCGCUAUCAAACACUACACUAUCAUGCUCUGCACUAACCAACUGUAGGAAAUGUCCAAUCUGACCCAAUCCAAUCGGGACUGUAAGCAUACCCGUCCCCGGGACUGUGAAUACACCCGUCCCUGCCCUGUUGCGACUAUCGGGCUCUAUCCACACUAACUGGUCCGUGGAGAGCAAGUCCAACUGGCAUGAGCGACACCAACGCGAAAGCACAAAGCCUGACUCCGGAGUGGCACUCGUGGGCGCUACCCAACCGAGUAUGCAGCGUAUCUCUGUCGAN
rnacentral:lncRNA from 1 species